AUUGAACGCUGGCGGCAGGCUUAACACAUGCAAGUCGAGCGAGCGGCGGACGGGUGAGUAAUGUCUGGGAAACUGCCUGAUGGAGGGGGAUCACUACUGGAAACGGUAGCUAAUACCGCAUACCAUCAGAUGUGCCCAGAUGGGAUUAGCUAGUAGGUGGGGUAAUGGCUCACCUAGGCGACGAUCCCUAGCUGGUCUGAGAGGAUGACCGGCAAGACGGGAAGGUAUACACGGUCCAGACUCGUACGGGAGGCAGCAGUGGGGGAUAUUGCACAAUGGGCGAAAGCCUGAUGCAGCGACGCCGCGUGGGGGAUGAAGGCUUUCGGGUUGUAAACCUCUUUCGCUAGCGAACGGGUAGGUGGAGAAGAAGCGCCGGCUAACUACGUGCCAGCAGCCGCGGUAAUAC
rnacentral:rRNA from 1 species